CCUACGGGAGGCUGCAGUGAGGAAUAUUGGUCAAUGGGCGGGAGCCUGAACCAGCCAAGUCGCGUGAGGGAAGACGGUCCUAUGGAUUGUAAACCUCUUUAGGCGGGGAGCAAUGCCGGGCACGUGUGCCCGGAGGGAGAGUACCCGCAGAAUAAGCAUCGGCUAACUCCGUGCCAGCAGCCGCGGUAAUACGGAGGAUGCGAGCGUUAUCCGGAUUUAUUGGGUUUAAAGGGUGCGUAGGCGGAUUUUUAAGUCAGCGGUAAAAUGUCCGGGCUCAACCUGUGGCCUGCAUUUGAAACUGUUUUUCUUGAGUACUGGAGAGGCAGACGGAAUUCCUAGUGUAGCGGUGAAAUGCGUAGAUAUUAGGAGGAACACCAGUGGCGAAGGCGGUCUGUUGGACAGCAACUGACGCUGAGGCGCGAAAGCGUGGGGAGCAAACAGGAUUAGAUACCCGUGUAGUC
rnacentral:rRNA from 1 species